rnacentral:rRNA from 1 species
AACGAACGCUGGCGGCAUGCCUAACACAUGCAAGUCGAACGAGACCUUCGGGUCUAGUGGCACACGGGUGCGUAACGCGUGGGAACCUGCCCUUAGGUUCGGAAUAACUCCCCGAAAGGGGUGCUAAUACCGGAUAAUGUCUUCGGACCAAAGAUUUAUCGCCCUUGGAUGGGCCCGCGUUGGAUUAGCUAGUUGGUAGGGUAAAAGCCUACCAAGGCGACGAUCCAUAGCUGGUCUGAGAGGAUGAUCAGCCACACUGGGACUGAGACACGGCCCAGACUCCUACGGGAGGCAGCAGUGGGGAAUAUUGGACAAUGGGCGAAAGCCUGAUCCAGCAAUGCCGCGUGAGCGAUGAAGGCCUUAGGGUUGUAAAGCUCUUUUACCCGGGAUGAUAAUGACAGUACCGGGAGAAUAAGCUCCGGCUAACUCCGUG